rnacentral:lncRNA from 1 species
GCCGGCUCAAUUGUUUUAUUAGUAGGUUUGCUACAUUAUCCGUGGAGUCUGCUCUUCACGCCUCAACAUAUUUCUUUUCAAGAUAGUCACGUAUGAUAUGGACCGCCGCUUGAUGUGCUUUAAUUUCUGAUGAGAUCUCAGCUUUUUAACAAGUGCUAUGGUUCUAUUAUUGUCGCAAUAAAGUGGAAUGACAUCUGAUGUCAUAACCCCAAGAUCUAUGAUGAACUUUUUGAACCAGAAGCCUUUCUCUGCGGC